GACCUAGUAGCGAAAUGAAUCGCACCCGCGCUUGUUGAACAGCUGAGAUUAAUACUCGAGGGGGUUCCUGGUUCGAAUCCAGGCUAGGUCA